rnacentral:lncRNA from 1 species
UUGCGCUUAUAUAAACUCUAUUAAGAUCAAUAUGUAGUUAUGUUAUUAAAUCAGCCUUUAUUUUAAUUUUUAGGUUUUAACUAGUUCCUGUUUCAAUAUUUUAUUACCAUUUACUAUCAAUGGCUUUCAAUUUUUGCCUCAAGAAUAUUAUUAUUCUUGUUCUUUUUUUCAUUCUUAGCCUAUCUCCCUUUAUAGUAACUUCCCGCGACUUAAAAGAAUUAUCCAAAUUAUCCAUGCUUGAAAGACAUGAAAAAUGGAUGGCUCGUCAUGAACGUGCAUACAAAGAUGAGAUAGAAAAGGAACAUCGCUUCAAAACAUUUAAGAAAAACGUUAAGUUCAUCGAAUCGUUCAACAAGAACGGAACUCAACGUUAUAAGUUAGCCGUCAACAAAUAUGCUGAUCUGACCACUGAGGAAUUUACAGCAUCAUAUAUGGGACUCGACACUUCAUUAUUAUCCCAGCAAGAAUCAACAGAUACAACAACGUCCUUUAAAUAUGGUAGUGUGACUGAAGUUCCAUAUAGCAUGGACUGGAGAAAUUCGGGCAGUGUCACAGAAAUCAAAGAUCAAGGUGUAUGUAGUAAGUACUCCCUCCGUCUAUUUUUAUUUGUCAUGUUGCGUUUUUCGAAAGUCAAUUUGACUAAUUUUCAAGUUUAAAUUAAAUUACAUUAAUUCGAUAUUUUAAACAAAACAAUUAGAUAUUCAAAAACGGUAGGAAAAGUACUAUAAAGUGCAUUUUUUUGCAAAUCAAUAUGAUGAAAAAAUACAUCUUAAAAUGUUAGUCAAAGUUUUUACAGUUUGACUCUAAAAAAAGAAACUAUGACAAUUAAAAAUGAACGAAUAUAAUAUUAAUUUGAUAUAAUUGUAGUUUGACUAGACAUGAUAAAUAUAUUUUUCCAACUUGGGAUUAGUAUAUAUUAGAACAUAUUUUAUAGAGAAUCUUAGUAACUCAGUUGGUUGACUACCUAAACUCUCACCUUGUUGAUGACGAUUCGAUUCCCAAAUUGUAGGUCUACUCCCCUACCCCCAAUUUUUCCAAACAAAUUAAGCCUCUAGAAUUAUGUGGUCUGUAAAAUACCAGGAGAUCAUUUGUGUAGCUAUAAAAGCUGGUCCUUAAAAGUUACUAAAAAUUUAUAAAUAUGUCAUUCUAUUUUUAAAUAGACUAAGACUUGAAUAUCUGCAUCCCAGGCUGUUGUUGGGCAUUUUCAGCGGUGGCAGCUAUAGAAGGAGCAUAUCAAAUUGCAAACAACGAACAAAUUUCACUUUCAGAACAACAGCUGAUAGAUUGCUCUACACAAAACAAUGGUUGCAAGGGUGGACUAAUGACUAACGCCUACAACUUCUUACUUCAAAAUAAUGUGGAGGGCAUUACCACGGAGAGUAACUAUCCUUAUGAAGAAACUCAAAGCAUUUGCAGCACGGAAUUACAAUCAGCAGCAGUGACAAUCAGUGGGUACGAAGUUGUACCAGCCAGUGAAUCUGCCUUACUACAAGCCGUAGCGAAUCAACCGAUAUCUGUUGGUGUUGCUGCUAACGAGGAGUUUCAUUUUUACAAUGGUGGGAUAUAUGAAGGAAGUUGUAGCCCUAAGCUGAAUCAUGCAGUGACAGUGAUAGGUUAUGGGACAAGUGAAGAAGAUGGUACAAAAUAUUGGAUAGUGAAGAACUCAUGGGGGAGGGGUUGGGGUGAGGAAGGAUAUAUGAGAAUUGCUAGAGAUGUUGGGGUUGAUGGUGGCCAUUGUGGCAUUGCUAAAAUUGCUUCUUUUCCAACUGUUUGAAUUGUUAUGCUAAAAGGCAUAAAUUUUCUCCUAAACUUGUGUCGAAAAGUCAGUUACACGCUCAAACUAUUAUGACGACGUAUUACACACCUAAUUUUGUUCAAAGUGAUAUUAAUACCCCCUUAGAACGUGACAUGACAAAGAGAGUGUCUUCACCUUCCUUAAGGUGCGUGAGAAGAAAAAAUUAUAUGUUAAAAUGACGAAUUUCAACACAUGACACUAUUUUAUUGGUCAUAUAAUUAUGUAUUAUAAUUUUCAAUAUAUUAAUUAUUUUAUUUUUCUUUUUUUAAUCUUUUUAUUGGUGGUCCUAAUUUCUUUAAAGCUUUUUCAUUUUUCUUUAUUUUGAGUUCUUCUUCUUCUUCUUCUUAAGGAAUCACUGCAUUUGUCGUCAUUGAUUGUUUGAUGGAAGCACAUUCAACACUCUACCCAUAAAAAUGAACUCUUAAAAAUAGAAAGGGUGGAGAAGAUGAUGACUUUCAUCGAAAAGUCAAUAAUUUUCAACUUAAAGUUCAUGAUUUUUCUGUUUGAACUCGCCGGAGAAGAUCACCUAAAAAAAUUCAUGAGAAAGAUAAUGAUUUCUAUUGAAAAUUCAUGAUUAUAUUGUCUAAAUUUUUAAAAGUUCACCGAAGAAAUGAUUUCUCAAUCUUUGUCUUCUCUAUUCUCACCGGAGAACUACCAACAACCACCACAAUGUUAUUUUUAUGUCUCAUAUCAUCAAUAACAUAUUUGAUUAAUCAAUUACAUACAAAAAAUACUAAUGAAUUGCAUACAUACUUAUCAAGAUUUUUAAAGAAUUUUACAGAUCUUAAAAAUUUUAUUUGUUCCAUCGGUCAUAAUGGUGUUGCCCAUCGCCUAUCACCGUUGCCAAUAUCUCUAUACUUCAUAAUCGACUUAUUGACUCCUAUUUUCUCUUCAAGUUUUUAUCUUUUCCAUCAAUUUAUGAACAAUGGAGAAGAAAGAAGAAAUAGAUUUUAAUAAGAGAUAUGUAUGGUGAGAGAAGGAAGAUUUCCAAGUUUUUAAUUUUUUGCAAAAGUUAAAGAAAAUAUCAAGGAAAAAGGUUUUAAAAUUUUUAAAUAAUAUUAUUUAUGCGUGAAAACGCGUGUACAACACUUUUUUUACACAAAACUGAGAUUGUCUUCGGAAGGGGAUAUUAAUAUCACUUUGAACAAGAUUAGGUGUGUAAUAGGUUGUCACAAUUGUUCGAACGUGUAACUGACUUUUCGGCACAAAUUUAGAGAGAAAUUUAUGUCUUUUCCCUUUUAUUUAUCGUUAACAUAGUUUGAAAUUAUUAGUUUCAACAUGACAUUCCUGUUACAACAUAAAAAAUAUUUCUAGUAAUUCGUGUUUCCUGAAUAAAUUAAUCAAUACAAGAAGCGUUUUUUUCUUUUAAAAGUUUUUUAAUGAUGCAGUCAAAUAGUGCUUGUUAAUUACUUAUACCAUCCACAGCAAAAUUGGGUUCCUAGUUAUACUAUAUUGACGGACAUUGCGAUGGAUUUUUUCAUAAUGAGCAAAUAGACAGACACCUCUACUUGACGCAUAUAUUUCUUGUCAUUUGCUAAUAUGUACAUUUAGGCUAGCUAGUGUAGUCCGGGUUCAUAAAAUGAGCCCACAAGCCCAUGGUCCAAUAGGGUGUUACUUCAUCAAAAAGGUCAAGCUCAUAGCACGUGACAAGUAACAUGGUGUGUUAAAAUCAAAUAGACAAGCAAAUGAAAUCAUGACAUGUUCAAGUGGUAUCGCAUGUCUAGUCAAAUUAAUCAACCAAUUAUAUUAUUAGUACCAAAAUGUGACGAACAAAUAUAUUCUGGCCAAUCAAAUUAAUCAAAGGUGAAUUCUAGCCUCUUUUGGCCAAACGACUAAAACCGGUUUAGUUUUACACUAUAACAAAAAUAACUUUUAGCACAAUAAAUAUUGACAUUAAUAAAGAGUGUUAAAGUCUUUACUAGCAUUAGUUAAGUGCCAUUAGAACUAAUGUCGCUAAAGGUUUUAGGGACAUAUAAAAAGAAUAUUAAUUGCCGAUAAAAAUACAUAUCUAGCGGUAAUUAAGAAUUAAUUGCCGCCUAUGAUCAUUUUUGAUGUAGUGUUAUAACCAUUUUUAUCAAAUAAUUUUUCACAAAAGUGAUUUUUAAAAAUAAUAAUAAUUUAUAAAUGUUUAUUUGAAAAGUGUUUUGCAUUCGAUGUUAAAAAAAUUAAAUGUUUUUGAGAGUCAAAUUACGAAAAAGAACAUUUAUCAAUGCUUUUUAAACAAUAAUAACAUUAUUUUAUAGAGAAAAAUAUUUUAAUAUCUAUUAUUAAAAAAUAAUUUAAUUUUAAUGUUUAUUUAUUAAAAGUACAUAUUGCAAAUUUUUAAUCAAUAUUAUACGUAGAUAAAUCAAAGAAAAUAUGAAAUGUUGAUAUAAUAUUAACAUGAUGAUUUGAAUAUAUUAAAAAGUUAAGCCAAAUAAAUUUAAAAAUUUAUUCCACAUAUUAAACAUAAACUAAUAAUAUAUAAAAUGUAAAAUUAAAUAAGAAUUGUUUGUGUAAAAAACUAAACCAAAAAUAUGAUAUAUGUUACCCCUCUGUACCAAUUUAUGUGACUUACUUUCUUAUUUAGUCAGUUUCAAAAAAGAAUGACAUAUUUCUAUAUUAAGUAAUAAUUUAACUAUAAAAUGGUUAUUUUACCCUUAAUGAAAUAAUUUACAACAACACAAUUUUUUGUCAUUCAUUUUGGACCACAAGUUUUAAAAGUCUUCCUAUCUUUCUUAAACUCCAUGCUAAGUCAUCUUACAUAAAAUGGGACAUAGGGAAUAGUAAUUAAUUAGUCAUGAAUAUAUUGAUAAAUAUGUAUAAAUGGCAAGGGUACUUUUAUAUUGACAAAAUAAUUUUAUACUUUUGCUUCUACUUAGUUUAAGAAACUGAAAUUUUUAUUUUUUUCCGAAUAACAUAAAAACUCUUUCUGCUCUAUUAAAUUAAAAGCAGAUUCACCGCCCAAACACCUUAAUUCUUAAAGUAUUUGUGAAGUGGAAGGUGUAAAACAAGAUAGAACAAGAGCAGAAAAUCCUUGAAUUUACCAAACUCGAUCGGUAGAGUUAAAGAACGUCUAAUUCCAAUAUAUAUCUAUCAGGGUGUGGAACCUUCUUUUAAUAAGAAUAGUCUAAUUAGUUCGUUAAAUAUCCAACAUCAAUUCAUAUAUAGUUUUGAAAAUGAGUUUCGUUUGAAUAAGUGAUUUUGAAUAGUUUUAAGUGAUUUUUUUCAUCACAAAACUUCUAUGUAUUAUUUCAUAUUUUUCAAUUUUAAUGCAUAUAUGUAGAUAUCUAGUGUAUUUUUUGUUCUACCACUACCAGCAUGUACACUACAAGAAAACAAGAAAUAACUAAGCGAUUAAUAAAAUUCAGUAACUAAACAACAUAAAUUUCAUACUAAUUUUAUUUAGCUACGGAUUGGCGACUGAUUAUAAAAAAAAUACAAUUUAUUUAGAGUUAUCUAAGCGACAAAUAUAUUUUGUAGUUAAUUCUUUUCUGUAUGUGGUAGUUGCUAAUACUUAGUUAAUUCGGUGCUUUUCUUGAGUAAAGAUUUUGUAAAUUGAUGCAAUAGUGAAAGUUGUGGAGAAAGAGAUGAGAAGAGAUAUUAGUUUCCCAUCAAUUCAUUGGGCAAAUUAUCAACAAUCAAAUGAAGAUGACUUCCACAAUAUUAUAGCACAUGCAUGAGCAAGACUUGGUCUAAUUUUUCAUAACAAUUAGUGUAUCUGACAAAAACGUUGCAGAAGAAAUUCCAAGAGAAGCAAAGAUUCCUACGCAAAGUAGACCCAGAUUUUUGGAAUAAUCAAUAAUGUCCUUCGAUUCACAAUUAAGCUGCCCCAUUAAUAUACCCAUUGUCAUCAGUCCCUUCGUGGGGACGUGGAAUAAAAUUGUAACGAAAUAGAGCAUAACCUUUGCGCAAAAUUACUGGCACAACUCGACAAAUGCUCUAACUCUACGUAGUAAUAAUAUUAGGGGCGUACAUGACCGGGUUGGUUCGGGUUUUUCAAAUAUCAAACCAAACCAUUUGUGUCGAAUUUUUAAAUCCAUAAACCAAACCAAACCAAUAAAACUCGGGUUUUUCAACCUCGGGUUUUUUCGAAUUUUUUCGGGUUUUUUGGAUUUUCGGGUUUUUCCGGUAAAGUAUUCAUACAAACAUAUAAUUUACUUGUACUUCAAAUAUUUCUUUAGUCCUACCAAAAUACAACUAUAUAAGGUGUUUCUUAAGAAACUAACAGAAAAUAUGAUAUGAUUAAUGAUACUAAAUAUCCAAUAAAAAAAUAAUAAUAAUGAAAUCGCGUAAAACAAAUAUUGCAAAUUAACAAGUCAUAAUGAAAAUGAUCAUAAUUUAAAAGUACUAAAUCAUUCUAAAAUAAGUUUAAUAAGUAUUAGUUACAUGACUAAAUAUUAAAGGAAAUUAAAAUUAGAUUAUGUAUUUGAAUUGUCUAAACCAAUGUAAAGCCAAAGAACAAAUAUUCAAUAUUAUUGUCAUUCUUAGUGUUGAAUUGAUUUUCUUUUUGCAUUAGUAUUAAUUUGAUUUUGAUUUAAACUUUAUUAUAAUUACCAACAUCUGUGGACUAUAAUUUUUUAUUGAACCAUUCAAAAUUCUAAGUUUCAAACUUGAAAUAAUAUAUUAAAAGAUAAAACUUAUGAAAAAGCAUAAGAAAUAUUUAAUAAUUAUAUCAAAGUAAAUAUUUUUAUGUAUAAAAUAAAAUUUUAAAUUAUAUAUAUAAUGUCGGGUUGAUUUGGUCUCGGGUUGGUUUUUUAGUUAAAACCAAACCAACCCAAAUAUAGUCGGGUUUUUUUAUUCAAUACCAAACCAAAUGAAACCAACCACUAGUUGGAUUUUUUUUCUCGAUUUGACUUAAUUUGCUGUUUGAUUCAGUUUUCGAUUCGGUUUUGUACAUCCCUAAAUAAUAUAAUUGUUGACCUUUUAGUGAUUGUUGACAUAGUCUUUUCUUUUAUCUUUUUCUUCCUUUUUUUGUCUAGUAGUCCAGAUAUCACGCAGUGAGCUAUGUUGUAUACUUGUUUUGCUUGCAAUAAGAAUUUUAAAGGAAAAAGAUUUUCUUAAUUAAUCAAUUAUAUCUCAAUUGUUGAUAUUAUAUAAAUGCGAACCUCCUCUACUUCUUGUUUUUUUUUAAAACCUUUUUUUUAAAAAAGAAAAAGAUGUAGGAGGGGAUUGAUUAAAAGGUAGGGAGUCGAACACUCAUCAAUAAGGUAGAGUUCAGGUAGUCAACAAACUGAGAUAUGAAUAUUAGCUACGUACCACCUUCUCUACCGUGUGUUUUACGAAAAAAAAGGAAAGAAAGAUUACUCUGUUUGUAUUGUUUAAAUUUGCUUGAAGUCGUCCUAGUCUCCCAAAAAGUUAAAAUAGGUUGAUCAUUCCUGGAAAACGAAAUGAUUGACCUUUUAGGCUCAAUUGGAAAAUUUUGUACGCGAAAAUUCUCAAUAUUGUGCUUAUAUAAACUCUGUUAACAUCGAUGUGUGCUUAUUCACUCAGCCUCUCUUUUAGUUUUAAACUAGUUCCUAUUUCAAUACUCCUAUUUCAUUACCAUUUAGUAUCAAUGGCUUUCAAUUUUUGCCUCAAGAAUAUUAUUGUUCUUGUUCUUUUUUUCAUUCUUAGCCUAUGUCCCUUUAUAGUGACUUCCCGCGACUUAAAAGAAUUAUCCAUGCUUGAAAGGCAUGAAAAAUGGAUGGCUCAUCAUGGACGUGUA